CUCAAAAUAAAUAAACCUUUAACAAAAUAUUUAAAAUAAAUAAAUAAUAAAAAUUAGUUUUUCAAAUUCUUUCUUAUACCAACUGUCAUCCUUGCCCCCUCCCAUCACUCCCCUGCUACAUUCACUAGUAGGUUCUUGCUGAAAUUUAACCUGUCACAUUAAAAUUGAAGUUCAUUGAUGAACGUGGCUCCCUAGUUAACUAAUAAUUAACUAUAUUAUUCCAGGUAUUAUUUUCACACCAGUGACAUACUAUAUAUAGUACACCACCCUUGCUACUUUGUUUUUUGUUAAAGAGCAUUAACUAAUUAAGUCUUCUGUGACAACGUGGCUCUAAUUGAUGAAAAUCCCUAUCUAACUCAUCCAAAUUGAUGAAUUAAACCAAUUAGUAAAAUCUCCAAUUGGAUUCUCUAGUUGAUGAAAUUCACCUGCCAUUCUUCUAUUUCAGAAGUUCUCAAAUUUGAGAGCACAUGGGAAUCACCCAGAGUGUUUGUUCAAAUAGAUUCCUGGGCCCUACCCCCAGAGACAUUUACUCAGUGGUUUAAGAGUAGGGCCUGAGAAUUUGCCCCAGGUUCCCAGCUGAUGCUAAAACUUUGGGUCUGGAGUCCACACUGCAUGUAGUUAAUGGAUAUGGCUCAUAGUUAAAGUCUCUCAGUUAAUUAAAAUCAGUUUCAUUAAGGAACUUCCCUUAGAGUUAAUUAGGUCUCCCAAACUCCUAAUUACAUCUAGACCCUAGAUAAUAAGACUUGUUUAAUAGGCUUAUUAAGCUCAUCAAAUUAAAAUUGACCCCUUCAGAAAAAAAAUUCACCUCUUCCUUCUUUAAGCCCUUUAUACUGGUUCUUUCAACUUUAUCUCACUAGGGUGGCAGCUGAGAAGAAAGGGCCUCUGGGAUGGAAGCUGGGGAGUGACGCUCCCAGCGGACAACACGGAGACAUGGAGGGAAUUGUGAACUGGGGGGUGUCCGCGUUGCAUCAGCUUUACGGAGGGCCCCACCUGCUCCCAGUUUCCUUUCCUGGCCACUCCCCUCAGGCCUCCAGCUCUGUUUCACAAUACAUUCGUGGAUUGCAAUUCCCAGUCUUCCCUGCAGUGAUCUGGAGUUUUGUCUUGGGGAAACAGUAAUCACAUGGUUAAGAAUGCUGGCUUGGAGUCAGGCUGGGUUCAAAUGCAAAAUCCCCAACAAACUAGUUAUAUGAUCUUGAACAAAUUAUUUAACCUCUCUGAACCACCUGCACAAGAACAUAGGCCACAUAAUCUGGGAAGGACUGACUCGAUCUUUCUCCAUCAGGAGACUGGCUUCCUCUUCAGGGCCUCUAACCUGAGGGUGUGGAAUUGAGGUGUCAUGGCUAGGCAAGGGCUGCCCCCUGGUGGUCAUGGAGCCUGGGGAGUCCUGAGACACCCAGAAGUGGUUUUUCUCAAAAGGGCCUGAAUUCCAGCUUCCGUUCAGUCCCUUACCUUGCCUCAUCCUAUCAACAGACCAUCUCCACCCCAAAGAGUCAAUGUGGAAGAAAUGGUUUCUUCUACUCAACUAUGAUAAGCAACUUGAGGAGGGAGCAGAAAUCACCACCAGUGGACUGGGGCUGUAGGGCUGGGAAGCGCCACUGGCCUGAAGAUAAAACUCCAUACUUCUACAGUACACGCUCAAUCACAUGGCACUGCUCCAUGUCUCAGGACAGUGCGGCUUUGAAGUCAAGUCAGCCUAAGUUGGAGCCCUGGUUCCCCUGCUUACACAUCUGUGAAUGUGAAUAGCAUCUGUCAAUUUCCAGACUUCACUGUCCUGGAUGUUCAGUGUAUGUUAGUCCCUAGCCCCUCCCCAGUCUGGGGCUAGGAUGACCAUGGUUAAGCUCUGCCUGAACUCAAGGGUAUCUUGCUCUCUCUACCUCUUUUCUGUACCUAAGAUUUCCAAUAUCCAAAAAUGUUGUGGAUUCCAAAGAUUGUACUUGGAUUUUUUUUUUUAAGUCCAUCUACAAUAAAUCCUGGUAGAAGUGUAGAUUCAAGGACCCUUUUCAAUAACUCUGAGUCUCUCUAAGGAACUUUAACCUGCAGGACAGGAACUGAUGCACUAAUCAGCACAAGGAUGGAAUUUUUCAAAGAUACUUUUACCAGGGACUCAAGAGGAAAGCCAAUGAAUAAAGAAGUUGUGAAGUGGAUGUAUA